UACGUAGGGUGCAAGCGUUGUCCGGAAUUAUUGGGCGUAAAGAGCUCGUAGGCGGUUUGUCGCGUCGGCUGUGAAAACCCGGGGCUCAACCCCGGGCCUGCAGUCGAUACGGGCAAACUAGAGUGCGGUAGGGGAGACUGGAAUUCCUGGUGUAGCGGUGAAAUGCGCAGAUAUCAGGAGGAACACCGGUGGCGAAGGCGGCUCUCUGGACGGUGACUGACGCUGAGACGCGAAAGCGUGGGGAGCAAACAGG
rnacentral:rRNA from 1 species